UGUAGCCUGGUGACAUUUGUCUGGCAAUGUGCUGGGGACACAACUUCCACUGCCCUUUCUGAGUGGCCGUAUCAAGGAGCAUGCUUAAUAUUUGCACUUGGGGUUAGUAUUAGGUCUCACGGUGUGCCGGGUCAUGUGGCACCCUCAAAGUCAAAGUGGGAGCCCCACUCCAGAAAUUUGAAGAAGCCCGGCCUCAAGGACAAAGCAGGAGCUUCAAGAGGGGCCUCGCCUUAAUCACACAGCAGCCAGACACCUUGGGCACCUUGGCGGAAAGCACAGGCUAUUUUGGAUCGGGCCGUAAGCUGUCUUGGCGGGUUACCUGAAGGGAGUUCCUUCCCAUCCAACUGCAGAUACACAGCAUUGCUAGGGACCAAAAUGACACUUUCCCGAAGGCCCCUCCCAGCAAGGCCAUCCGCCUAGAAAGGAAUGCCGUGAAGGACAGACUUCUGAGAUGGUGAGGAAAAUGAAAGCUUAGGGAUUCACUUAUCUGCUUUUCUUUUCUGAGCACAAAGCAAGAGAAGACAUAGGAAAGCUGUGCCAAGGGACCAGAGGCCCCCUUCCAGCCUUCGCCCUCACAUUCUGCAGCUGAAGGCGAGACCAGGAGAGACAGCAGUAGGCAGGAGCUCAAAGCACCCCAUCUGCUUUGGUGUGCAUUUCCACUAAGUAUAGUGACUACAAUGCUGAAUGGAUUGAUUUAGACAAACAUGACAGCCUCACCUGACAUCCACAGACUUCACAUACUCCGAAAGCAAGUCCUUGGGGAAACGGCAGGCGCAGGGGCCACGCACGCCCGUCACUAAAUGCAUGCUUUCCCUCAUUCCCCCUUUCUCUCAGCUUCACUUUGCACACUGCCUGCAGUUUACUGAUGCGUGCAUGCAACAAGUUUUUGUUCAUUCUGAGCUUCUGUCUCCAGAGAUACGACCAGCAGCUCCUGGGAAAUCUGUAGAGAGGGUUAUUUGCAAUGCCUGGAAGCCUGUCGUCUUUUUCUAUAACAAGAUUAUUUCUACAAAUGAAUAAAGAGGCUCUGCUGGGUUAAACGUCAAUUUUUUUCACUGAGAUAAAUACCGUACAUCAAGAACUUAAUUCAAGAACCAUAUCAUGUUUCUGGCAAGGUAAGAGGCAGGGCAGAUGUUUAAAGGCAAAUAUUUCUUGAAGAUGAGUAAAAGGCAGGAAAAAAAUCUUACUCAGGAGAGACAUAAUAACAGGUUAUAAAUCAGAAAGAUAAAGGACGUGGUAAAGAAAGAAACCAUGAUUUUGCUCUGUCUGGGAAAAACCACACCCACUAAGGAGGGCAUAUUAUACUUAUGAGAAGUAUGUUUUAAAUGUAUAUGGGUGUGCAUGAGUUAAGUCAUGGCUUACCUCUGUGGUGUCUGUUUACUCCAUUGCACAGGGGGCGGGGGGCAAAGUGGUCCAGGCAAGUGUAAACUUGCUUUCCUUCAUUUGCAUUUUUUCUUUCCUUAACUCCUUUUAUGAAAGUAGCUGUUCUACUUCAUUCUUCAUCUUCCUCCCUAUUGCAUUGCUCUAACAAUCUCCUCUCUUAUUUGUUUCUGAAAGUCUUCUAUAGUUUGCUCAGUCAAUGUUGUAUCACUAGUGUCUCAUUAUUCGGUAGCUAGGGAACACAAAGUCCUGGGGUUUAGUAUAUAGCGGAUUAAGAGGAAAGUCCAUGCCCCCGACUGCAGUAACUGAGAAAUAAGUGAACGUUUCCACUCUUGAUGGAGAAGCAAUACAAGUGGCAUUCCAAAGGGCACAGAAAGUGACUUCACUUGCAACACACGUAAUGAACCCAAAGGUGCCUUCUGAAAGAGUUCACUUUUAGAUAAAUAUUGUAUAUCUUAACUUCUCAUAGGAGCUCGGGUUCUUGUGGAGAUAUAUUUAAAUUUUCCAUUUCACUGCUCUUGCGUAGUGUUAUUUAUGGUGGAGUCAGUAAGAAUUUAUUUUCAUUUUGAGACCUACAACAGUUUUACUAGUAAAAGUGCAAUUGUGAAUAGUGUGUCUUUUAUUGUGUAUAUGCACCAUACUUUACAGACUCCAACAAUUAGUAUACUAAGUUACAAUUAGAUAGGAUAAAUAAAUUCUAAUGUCUAAAGAGGAGCAGAGUGAUUUUACAUAAUGAUAAUAUAAUGUGUAUGUCAGAAGUUAGAAGAUUUCAAGUGUUCUUACCAUACAGAAUUAAAGUUUGAGGAUCUAGAAUGCAUAUUCUAAUGUGAAUGUUAUGUGAUGUAUACAUGUAUUGAUGUUUCAUGGUAUUUCAAAUAUGUAUACUUCUACUUGUUAAGUAAAGUGUAUAUAUAAAAAAAUCUGAUUUUGCAGUACUAAUCAACAUGUUCAUUAUGUCACAAUAAUCAUUACUUAGCUGAUCAUGUUUAUUCAAUUAUAUUGACUUAUGUUUAUUUUAUUCUCCUUGUCUCUUCAAAUGCAAAGAGUUAAUCCUGUAAAAGUCAUUUGAGGCAUUUGAUAUGAUGUUCUGUAUUAAAAUGUCACAUUUCAAAGUUAUGUAAACCAAAUACAUAACACAAUGUUUUAUAAUAUUGUAUUCUCUAUGGCCAAUUAUGAAAAAUACAAGCAGAGCUGCAACUGUAGAGAUGUAAGAGGGUCAAACAGGACACAGAUGAUCUGGUGUGUUGUUUGCUUCUGUGGCUCUAAUAAAAGGUGUUUCCCC